rnacentral:rRNA from 1 species
UACAGAGGGUGCGAGCGUUGUUCGGAAUUAUUGGGCGUAAAGCGCGUGUAGGCGGCUUAGUAAGUUGGGUGUGAAAGCCCUCGGCUUAACCGAGGAAGUGCGCCCAAAACUGCUUGGCUUGAGUACCGGAGAGGAUGGCGGAAUUCCCGGUGUAGAGGUGAAAUUCGUAGAUAUCGGGAGGAACACCAGCGGCGAAGGCGGCCAUCUGGACGGUAACUGACGCUGAGACGCGAAAGCGUGGGGAGCAAAC